rnacentral:rRNA from 1 species
CUAAAACGACUCUCGGCAACGGAUAUCUCGGCUCUCGCAUCGAUGAAGAACGUAGCGAAAUGCGAUACUUGGUGCGAAUUGCAGAAUCCCGUGAACCAUCGAGUCUUUGAACGCAAGUUGCGCCCCAAGCCUUCUGGCCGAGGGCACGUCUGCCUGGGUGUCACA